AGCGGCGGACGGGUGAGUAACACGUGGGUAACCUGCCUCAAAGAGGGGGAUAGCCUCCCGAAAGGGAGAUUAAUACCGCAUAACAUUAGUUUUUCGCAUGAAGAACUAAUUAAAGGAGCAAUCCGCUUUGAGAUGGACCCGCGGCGCAUUAGCUAGUUGGUGAGGUAAAGGCUCACCAAGGCGACGAUGCGUAGCCGACCUGAGAGGGUGAUCGGCCACAUUGGAACUGAGACACGGUCCAGACUCCUACGGGAGGCAGCAGUGGGGAAUAUUGCACAAUGGGCGAAAGCCUGAUGCAGCAACGCCGCGUGAGUGAUGAAGGCCUUCGGGUUGUAAAGCUCUGUCUUUUGGGACGAUAAUGACGGUACCAAAGGAGGAAGCCACGGCUAACUACGUGCCAGCAGCCGCGGUAAUACGUAGGUGGCGAGCGUUGUCCGGAUUUACUGGGCGUAAAGGAUGCGUAGGCGGAUAUUUAAGUGAGAUGUGAAAUACCCGGGCUUAACUUGGGUGCUGCAUUUCAAACUGGAUAUCUAGAGUGCGGGAGAGGAGAAUGGAAUUCCUAGUGUAGCGGUGAAAUGCGUAGAGAUUAGGAAGAACACCAGUGGCGAAGGCGAUUCUCUGGACCGUAACUGACGCUGAGGCAUGAAAGCGUGGGUAGCAAACAGGAUUAGAUACCCUGGUAGUCCACGCC
rnacentral:rRNA from 1 species